rnacentral:tRNA from 1 species
CAAAGAAUAGUUUAAUUGAUUGUUGAAUACUAGCUUUGGGAGCUGGCGGUGGGGGUUAAAUUCCCCUUUCUUUGA